UACGUAGGGGGCAAGCGUUGUCCGGAUUUACUGGGCGUAAAGAGCGUGUAGGCGGCCAAGCAGGUCCGUUGUGAAAACUGGAGGCUUAACCUCCAGACGUCGACGGAAACCGCGCGGCUAAAGUCCGGAAGAGGAGAGUGGAAUUCCUGGUGUAGCGGUGAAAUGCGCAGAUAUCAGGAAGAACACCAAUGGCGAAGGCAGCUCUCUGGGACGGUACUGACGCUGAGACGCGAAAGCGUGGGGAGCGAACAGG
rnacentral:rRNA from 1 species